AACCCUUUGCUAAGAGCUGGUUGGGGAGUCGCGAUUCCUUCGCACCCUUCCUCCCAGCCCAAACCAGUUCCAAAGACGAAACGCUCUGGAGAGAACCGGAGGGGUGGGAAUCCCUAUUUCUGUUGUAUGGCCGGGUGGGGGGUCCCCCCUCUACAGGGCGACCGAAGGACACUGCAGCAGUUUCGAACUGAGAAGGGGAACCCCAAGCCUAGGAAGGAAAGAAGGGGUGUACUCACCUCUCUGCCGUCGGGUCUGUCCGCAGAGGUAAGCAGAGAGGACACAAGGAGUCUUGGAGAUGAAGGCGGCACUAGAAGGAGAAAAUGGGAGGCUCAGAAGGAACAUUGCAAGAAAGCCAGUCUUGACCCCAAUGUGCCCACCUGAGAGUGUCAGUGCUCAGCCUUCCCAGCCCGAAAUUCCUGAUCCCCAGUACCUCUUGGCUGUCUCCUUCAGAAACUGCUCCAGCUCCGGGAAGGGG